rnacentral:rRNA from 1 species
AGCGAACGCUGGCGGCGUGGCUAAGCCAUGCAAGUCGAACGAACCGUAAGGUUAGUGGCGGAAGGGUGCGUAAUGUAUGGGCAAUCUGCCCUUGAGAGGAGCAUAGCCGGGGGAAACCCGGGUAAUACUCCAUAAAGUCCCGCGGAGGCAUCUCCGAGGGACCAAAGGUCUGCCGCUCGAGGAGGAGCCCAUAUCCUAUCAGCUAGUUGGCGGGGUAACGGCCCACCAAGGCUGCGACGGGUAGCCGGACUGAGAGGUCGGCCGGCCACAUCGGGACUGAGACACUGCCCGGACUCCUACGGGGGGCGUGCAGGAACGAAUAUUCCGCAAUGAGCGCAAGCUUGACGGAGCGACGCCGCGUGCAGGACGAAGUCC